UACGGAGGAUGCGAGCGUUAUCCGGAUUUAUUGGGUUUAAAGGGUGCGUAGGCGGUCCGUUAAGUCAGCGGUAAAAUUGCGGGGCUCAACCCCGUACUGCCGUUGAAACUGCAUCCCUUGAGUGCGCGAGAAGUAUGCGGAAUGCGUGGUGUAGCGGUGAAAUGCAUAGAUAUCACGCAGAACUCCGAUUGCGAAGGCAGCAUACCGGCGCGCAACUGACGCUCAUGCACGAAAGCGUGGGGAGCAAACAGG
rnacentral:rRNA from 1 species